rnacentral:rRNA from 1 species
UACAUGGGGUGCAAACGUUGCUCGGAAUUAUUGGGCGUAAAGCGCACGUAGGUGGUUCGUUAUGUCGGAUGUGAAAGCCCUCGGCUCAACUGAGGAAGUGCAUCCGAAACUGGCGAGCUAGAGUAUGUAAGAGGGUCGCGGAAUUCCCGGUGUAGAGGUGAAAUUCGUAGAUAUCGGGAGGAAUACCGGUGGCGAAGGCGGCGACCUGGGACAAUACUGACACUGAGGUGCGAAAGCGUGGGGAGCAAACAGG